rnacentral:sRNA from 1 species
UCCAGCAUUCACUUGCCAUCUUGACUCCUGUUCAUAGUCACAGUUCACAGUUCAGCAUCUUCUUCUCCACUUCUCGACUUCCACUUUUUCGCGAUUCGUUAGGGAGUGUGCGACGGUGUUCUUCGUUCGUCUUUGGCCUCUCGCCGAGCUCAUUUUAAUGGACAAAUCAUGGAUAGACAUGCCUCGAAAUACAAGUCAAUAUAUGGCAGGAUUGAAUACUUUUUUGGACUUCGCAUUCAGUAAUAGUGGUGUUAGGGGAAAGAUAAUAU